UACGGAGUUAGCCGAUGCUUUUUCUCCGGGUACUCUCAGCUGGGUCACACGUGACCCAGCUUGCUCCCCGGCAAAAGAGGUUUACAAUCCAUAGGACCGUCUUCCCUCACGCGACUUGGCUGGUUCAGGCUCGCGCCCAUUGACCAAUAUUCCUCACUGCUGCCUCCCGUAGGAGUCUGGUCCGUGUCUCAGUACCAGUGUGGGGGACCUUCCUCUCAGAACCCCUACGCAUCGUCGCCUCGGUGGGCCGUUACCCCGCCGACUAGCUAAUGCGCCGCAUGCCCAUCCCUGGCCGGAAUCGCUUCCUUUGAUCCUAACGGGAUGUCCCGUAAGGAUGUUACGCGGUAUUAGACCGGAUUUCUCCGGCUUAUCCCCCAGCCAGGGGCAGGUUGCAUACGUGUUACUCACCCGUGCGCCGGUCGCCGGCGGAUGAAGCAAGCUUCAUCCCCGCUGCCCCUCGACUUGCAUGUGUUAAGCCUGUCGCUAGCGUUCAUCCUGAGCCAGGAUCAAAC
rnacentral:rRNA from 1 species